CCUCAGCCUGCCCUGAAAGCAUGCUGUAUUUGUGCGUUUUUUCUUUUGUUAACAUUAAAUUAUUUUCAAAAUAAAUGUCAAAGCAAUAAAUUUUUGUUUUUAACUUUUGAAAAGGAGUCUGAAAAUCUGCAUGAGGUAUUGGUUUCUUUAAUGAAGUGACGUUUAUUUUUUUAACGGAUGCAGAGGUGUUUGAGGAAAGGAAGAGGAUGUUCAGGGUCUUUGAUGAGCGUGUGGAGAGGCUGCUGAAGAAGUUGAAUGGGAAAGUCACAUAAAUGGAUGAAACCGUAAAUGGCAUGGAACAGGAGCUGUCUUAUUCUGCAGCAACCUUCCUUAGCUGGAUCAUCAGGAUUCUCUGGUCACUUUGGAGAUUGGAGUCAAGGGAUUUAUGCUGUACAGAAUGAACAAGAGCGGACAAUAGCAAUAGACUGCGGUGCGGAUCCGCACAAGAGGUAAAGCAGAGCUGCCGAAUACACCUCAAAGUUUAUUGCCAUCAAGGUCAGUUUCUCUUUUCCUCAACAAGCAUUUUUUUCCAAUUGUCAUUUGACUUAUAGUUAAAGAAGACAUGUCACAAUAACUUUUUAAGACGUAAAAUAAAUCUUUGGUGUCCCCAGAGUACACAUGUGAAGUUUUAGCUCAAAAUACCAUAGAUCAUGUAUUAUAACAUGUUAAAAUUGCCACUUUGUAGGUGCGAGCAAAAAUGUGCCGUUUUGGGUGUGUCCUUUUAAAUGCAAAUGAGAGGAUGAAGUGCAAACACUGAACACAAUGAUGGUGGUUUGAUGCAAUUCAAACUCAAUUGUGCUGUCAAUUCUUUUUUCUUUCUCUCAGCCCUAAAUGGCAGUGCUGUGGUUGGAUAAUGCCGCCCCUUAAUUUGCACUAUUAUAACAAGAGCUCCUUAUGACAUCACAAGGAGAGACAAAUUUCAAUGACCUACAUUUUUACGUGCUACAGAGAAUGGUUUACCAAAACUAAGUUACUGGGUUGUUCUUUUCCACAUUUUCUUGGUUGAUAGAAGCACUGGGGACCCAAUCAUAGCACUUAAACAUGGAAAAAGUCAGAUUUUCAUGCCAUGGCCCCUUUAACAAUACAUUUUUGAUUGCAUUUGAUGUAGUUUCGAUAUUAAGUUUUUAUAUACAACCACUGAUAUUAUUAUAGACACAAAUGAUUAGUAGGGCAUUACAACAGCAUUAGCAGCGCAAAGGUUGUUGGCUGUAUUCUUAGGACACACAUAUAAAACAUAUAUCAUAAAAAAUAUAACUUUUUAUUAACCAGUUAAUAUUACUUCAAACAUUUAACCUUCUCAAACAGUUUGUACUUAGGAGAAGGUCAUCAAAAGGUAGCAAAUAACAGCAAUAUAGCAAGUCAAAAUUCCAUCUCCAGUAAAAUAGUUUAUUCUGUUUUUCACAGAAAUAGGAAAUGCAACAAACUGAACAUGAAUUUAUUACUAGAAAACACUGGUUUGUGGUUGUGGAUUAAAAUCUGAAUGAGUACAAAAGUGUAUUACAUAUUUUUCUAUGAAAGAUUUAAAUACAUACUCUAAUAACUUACUUUAAACACACAGUUAAAAUAUCACUCAGUUCUAACUGAACCAACUCAUAGGAUUAGAUUAU